CCUACGGGAGGCAGCAGUGAGGAAUAUUGGUCAAUGGACGAGAGUCUGAACCAGCCAAGUAGCGUGGAGGAUGACUGCCCUAUGGGUUGUAAACUUCUUUUAUAAGGGAAUAAAGUGAGGGACGUGUCCCUUUUUGUAUGUACCUUAUGAAUAAGGAUCGGCUAACUCCGUGCCAGCAGCCGCGGUAAU
rnacentral:rRNA from 1 species